rnacentral:tRNA from 1 species
GGACAUGUGCCCGAAAGAUAAGGGCCACUUUGAUAGAGUGAAAAAUAUAGGUUAAAACCCUCUCAUAUCCU